rfam:Myotis davidii contig43549, whole genome shotgun sequence.
GGUGGUUCUCGGGUGACGCACCUGGGAAUUGGACGCACUCUGUUUCCAGGGUGCAUCACCCAAGAACCACU